CCCCCGCCCCACCAGUGGUCACUCCUUCCACACCGUUGUACAAGCCACCAACUCCCGCGCCACCAGUUAAGACACCACCGCCAGUCAACCCCCCCACACCUGUGCCUCCUGUGAAGCCACCCACUACUCCCGCCCCACCGUCUACAAGCCACCACCUCCAGCACCAUCAGUCAACCCCCCCACACCUGUGCCUCCGUGAAGCCACCCACUACUCCCGCCCCACCGAUCUACAAGCCACCAUCUCCAGCACCGCCAGUCAAUCCCCCCACACCUGUGCCUCCUGUGAAGCCACCCACUACUCCUGCCCCACCGGUCUACAAGCCACCAUCCCCAGCACCCACACCCGUGCCUCCAGUGAAGCCACCCACUACUGGACCAAUGCCUCCGCCAGUUAGGACAAGAUCGGGUAACAUAUCCAUCACUUACAGAAGUUAACAUGAACUUAACAUGGCCCUCUUUCCUUGUUUUAGCUAUACAGAUAAGAUCAUAGAUUAACAAGUUUGGUGGCUUUAUUGGCAGAUU
rnacentral:lncRNA from 1 species